rnacentral:rRNA from 1 species
CCUACGGGUGGCAGCAGUGGGGAAUAUUGGGCAAUGGGCGCAAGCCUGACCCAGCAACGCCGCGUGAAGGAAGAAGGCUUUCGGGUUGUAAACUUCUUUUGUCAGGGACGAAGCAAGUGACGGUACCUGUCGAAUAAGCCACGGCUAACUACGUGCCCGCAGCCGCGGUAAUCCGUAGGGGGCAAGCGUAAUCCGGAUUUACUGGGUAUAAAGGGCGUGUAGGCGGGGAAGCAAGUCAGAUGUGAAAACCACGGGCUCAACCUGUGGCCUGCAUUGGAAACGGUUUUGCUUGAGUGCGGGUAAGGCAAGCGGAAUUCGGGGUGUAGCGGUGAAAUGCGUAGAUAUACGGAGGAACACCAGUGGCGAAGGCAGAUUGCUGGAGAGUAACUGACGCUGAGGCGCGAAGGCGUGGGGAGCAAACAGGAUUAGAUACCCUAGUAGUC